GGUGGUUCUAGGGUGACAUACCCCAGAAUUGGGCUCCCUCCUCUCUGUUUCCGGGUGCAUCACCCCAGAACCACA
rfam:Myotis davidii contig20750, whole genome shotgun sequence.